CCUCACAUAAUGAGGACUGACUGUACCUGCCUCAGAGCUGCUUUGAUAAGAAAAAGAUGGGGCAGGAACU